ACCGGUUCAGCUUUGGCUUUGUUCUACACCUGGGGAGACGCUAAUGCUUUGCGAAAGGAACCAUACCAUGCUGAUGGCCCUCCUCUCACUCCUGAUGUAGUUUGCCUACUUGUUCCAAGCAACCACUUGAAGUCCAGCUGCACCACUGAGAUGGCUGCUUUGUAUCACUGACCCCAGCUUUUUGUGUUGGAUUUUUCUAUUCGUCAUGGAGAUAUUUUUCUGGAGUACCAAAUUCAUCUUAAAGGAAGAACACCAUCAAGUGGCUGCUCAGCUCAAUCUCCACUACUGUUCAACAGAAGCUUUCUUUCCAUUAUGUAAUAGAUACAAGAAGGAGAUAUUGGGAUAGAUGGCGAUGAUUACCAGCACAUUUGGCUAAAAAGACGUUCACUGAUAUUUUCUAGGGUGAAGCUAUUCCCAUGUACUACCCAUUAUGUUUCAUGGCUGUUGAAGAGCCACUGACAACAUUACCUGACCCAGAAGACCUAGUCAUCCUGUUAAAGUACACAAACAUCCAACAUAAUGCCAAAAAACAAUACAGCACAGUCCUCAACCUCAAAUCUGCCACCCUCCCAUAUCUGCUUUUCCAGCUCCAGAUGAAAGAAUGAAUGGCGCAUCGGGAACAACAUCCAUGUUUACCAGCACAAACAUCUGAAGAGAUGGUCAUUGACAGUUGUGAGGGAGAGUACGUUCCUGUGUGUCAUUCACUGCCAUUCAAGACUGUUCAUGAGCCUUCACCUCACACAAGUGACAACACAAGAACAACCUUACAUGUCCAUGAAGGAAGUUCUGUUGAUCAGGAGUGUGUGAUUAGCAGGCUUUUGGAUGUUGUGGGUCUGAAGGAGAAUACUGUCAAACUGAAUGUUAUACUGCUAACACACACAGGAACUACCAACAUCAAUUACACACAACAAAGUAGUAGGACAGUUCUAUAUUUCGUAUUGCUAUUUCUUUAAGUGCAAAACAUAAUAUCCGGCUUAAAAGUGGCAACCCCAACAAGGUUGAUGGUAACUGCCUAUAUGAAUCUAUAAUGAUUAACAUUAAUUAAAUGAAUUGCUUCAUUUAAAACCUUACAGAAUCACCAGCACAUUACAGAAUUAUGUGGAAUACUGUGGGAGAAGAUAGAGUAAAUUCAAGUCCAUACGACCCUGCUAACUAUUCAGAAAAUCAAUGGAAAGAUGCAUUUCACAUCCUCAAAACAACAAACCAAUAUGUCUUGGAAUAUUUUGGUGAUUUGGCUAUUCUUAAUUGUGCCCAUUCCAUAAAAAAAGACAUCAAUAUACCUUGGCAAAUAGAAAAUGCCAGUGCUGAUGGCUCAAUAAAUGUGAUUUAUGUUAAUGCAUUAGAUUUAUCUAAUGUUAGAGACACCAACAUUCCUUUGGUGAAAGCUCACAAUGGCAAUUAUUUUGAAAGUUUGAUCCCAGUAUCUGAAAAGUUAUUGAACAAACAAUUGAU